rnacentral:rRNA from 1 species
CGGGACGACGCUGGCGGCGUGCUUAACACAUGCAAGUCGAACGGUGACGAGGAGCUUGCUCCUCUGAUCAGUGGCGAACGGGUGAGUAACACGUGAGCAACCUGCCCCAGACUCUGGGAUAACAGUUGGAAACAGCUGCUAAUACCGGAUACGAGACGGAGAGGCAUCUCUACCGUCUGGAAAGUUUUUCGGUCUGGGAUGGACUCGCGGCCUAUCAGCUAGUUGGUGAGGUAAUGGCUCACCAAGGCGACGACGGGUAGCCGGCCUGAGAGGGCGACCGGCCACACUGGGACUGAGACACGGCCCAGACUCCUACGGGAGGCAGCAGUGGGGAAUAUUGCACAAUGGGUGAAAGCCUGAUGCAGCGACGCCGCGUGAGGGAUGACGGCCUUCGGGUUGUAAACCUCUUUCAGCAGGGAAGAAGCGAAAGUGACGGUACCUGCAGAAGAAGCACCGGCUAACUACGUG